UAUGAGGUAUAGCUGUAACUCCCCGGACGG
rnacentral:piRNA from 1 species